rnacentral:rRNA from 1 species
AGUGGCGCACGGGUGCGUAACACGUAGGUGACCUACCUUUAAGUCGGGGACAACAUUGGGAAACCGAUGCUAAUACCGGAUGUGGAAAAUCAUUUUGAAUGAGAUUUUCUAACCUCUGCAUAUGCAGUUGCUAGAAGAAGGGCCUGCGGAACAUUAGCUAGAUGGUAAGGUAAUGGCUUACCAUGGCUACGAUGUUUAGGGGGUCUGAGAGGAUGAUCCCCCACACUGGAACUGAGACACGGUCCAGACUCCUACGGGAGGCAGCAGUAGGGAAUAUUGCGCAAUGGGCGAAAGCCUGACGCAGCAAUGCCGCGUGAGUGAGGAAGGCCUUCGGGUUGUAAAGCUCUGUCAUACGGGAAGAACUGGGAUUGUAUUAAUAGUCCUUAGCUUUGACGGUACCGUAGAAGGAAGCACCGGCUAACUUCGUGCCAGCAGCCGCGGUAAUACGAAGGGUGCAAGCGUUGUUCGGAUUUAUUGGGCGUAAAGCGCGCGCAGGCGGAUGUGCAAGUCAGAUGCGAAAUCUCGGGGCUCAACCCCGAAACUGCGUCUGAAACUGUUCAUCUAGAAUCAUAUAGGGGGUAGGGGAAUUUCACAUGUAGGGGUAAAAUCCGUAGAGAUGUGAAGGAACACCGGAGGCGAAGGCGCCUACCUGGAUAUGUAUUGACGCUGAGGCGCGAAAGCGUGGGUAGCAAACAGGAUUAAGAUACCCUGGUAGUCCACGCCGUAAACGAUGAGCACUAGCUUUUGGAGGUAUUGACCCCUUCAGAGGCGCAGCUAACGCAUUAAGUGCUCCGCCUGGGGAGUACGGUCGCAAGACUAAAACUCAAAGGAAUUGACGGGGGCCCGCACAAGCGGUGGAUUAUGUGGUUUAAUUCGAUGCAACGCGAAGAACCUUACCUGGUCUUGACAUCCUACGAACUUACUAGAGAUAGUUUGGUGCCUUCGGGAACGUAGUGACAGGUGCUGCAUGGCUGUCGUCAGCUCGUGUUGUGAAAUGUUGGGUUAAGUCCCGUAACGAGCGCAACCCUUAUCCUUAUUUGCCAGCACAUAAUGGUGGGGACUAUAAGGAGACUGCCGGUGACAAACCGGAGGAAGGUGGGGACGACGUCAAGUCAUCAUGGCCCUUACGACCUGGGCUACACACGUGCUACAAUGGAUAAUACAGAGGGUUGCGAACCCGUAAGGAGGAGCUAAUCUCAGAAAAUUAUUCGUAGUCCGGAUUGGAGUCUGCAACUCGACUCCAUGAAGUCGGAAUCGCUAGUAAUCGCGAAUCAGCAUGUCGCGGUGAAUACGUUCCCGGGCCUUGUACACACCGCCCGUCACACCAUGGGAGUGGGUUGUACCAGAAGUAGGUAGUCUAACCGCAAGGAGGACCUUACCACUUUGUGGUCAAUGACUGGGGUGAAGUCGUAACAAGGUAACC